UAGUGAGUUAGAAAUGCAGAGC
rnacentral:miRNA from 1 species